UUCUCUAACCGACUGGUUUGGCUAUCGUAACACCCCCUCCCCUUCAGUUUUAAAAAUCUCCUCCUCCGUUUCCCACUCUCUCUAGCUCUAGGGUUUGGGUAUGGGAGUUUGCAGAAAGGCGGAGCAGAAGAGUCCCGAUCUGAAAGGCGAGUCCCGAUUGAGAUCACGGAGAAGCCUUACGGUGACGAUUCGUUGUCCUCCAACUCCGAGGGAUGAAGUCGUCGUCGUGGAAGUCCAAGAUCUACCGCUUGUUCAACAGAGAAAAACCUGUUCAGACAAGGUGAUCUAUGGAGGGAAACUGUAGGAUGCCUCAAACGUAUGAUCGGGAAGUAGGUGUAAAUCUGGAGAAGGGUUUUGCUGCUAAGACAAACAAAUCCAUUUCCAAAAUAAGCAGGGGAAGAACUUCAUAUAGGGAAAGCAAUGGUCGAAAUCAAGAACCAAUAUGCAGUGUUUUAUGCCAAGGUUCUUAGUUUAAAAGAAAUACCGCAAGGCCUGGCGAAAGACAACCAGACAAGGAUAAGGCAGAAAUUCGACUCUACAUGUGGCCGCUCGCAGUUGCACUUGGCUCUCGGUUUUAUUUAUUGAAUCGAUUGUACGGACAACUGUAAUGCUUUUGGUCCCAUUUCCUUUGUAUCGUGAUAUGAAUGCUUUUUGUCCCUUUUUAUUUGUAUCGUGAUAUUGGUGCCGUCCAAAUCAGCCGAUUGGGUUAACCAUCGGGUUAUCAUGGUUAAAAAUAAUGAAGACUUGAUUAAAAAAAAAAAACUAAUAAAUCAUUAAUGGCCU